CGAUAGUGAACUAGUACCGUGAGGGAAAGGUGAAAAGUACCCUGAAUAAGGGGGUGAAAUAGUACCUGAAACCGUGCGCUUACAAGCGGUCGGAGCAACUUCGUGUUGUGACGGCGUGCCUUUUGCAUAAUGAGCCUACGAGUUACUUUUACCGGCAAGGUUAAGGCAUUCAGUGCCGCAGCCGCAGCGAAAGCGAGUCUGAACAGGGCGUUCAGUUCGUUGCAUUAGACCCGAAACCAAGUGAUCUAGCCAUGAGCAGGCUGAAGGUUGGGUAACACCAACUGGAGGGCCGAACCCGUAUCUGUUGCAAUAGAUUGGGAUGACUUGUGGCUAGGGGUGAAAGGCCAAUCAAACUUGGAAAUAGCUGGUUCUCCGCGAAAUCUAUUUAGGUAGAGCGUCGGAUGAAUACUCUCGGGGGUAGAGCACUGGAUGGGCUAGGGCUGCGCGAGCGGUACCAAACCUAACCAAACUCCGAAUACCGAGGAGUACUAGUCGGCAGACACACGGCGGGUGCUAACGUCCGUCGUGGAGAG
rnacentral:rRNA from 13 species